rnacentral:piRNA from 1 species
UCCUGAAGGAUCACAGUUACAAGGCUGC